GACGUAGGAGACAAACGUUAUCCGGAGUUACUGGGCGUAAAGGGCGUGUAGGUGGUGCUGUAAGUUCGGCGUGAAAUUUUUCGGCUUAACCGGGAAAGGUCGUCGGAUACUGCAGGACUAGAGGACGGUAGAGGCGUGUGGAAUUCCGGGUGUAGUGGUGGAAUGCGUAGAGAUCCGGAGGAACACCAGUGGCGAAGGCGACACGCUGGGCCGUACCUGACACUGAGGCGCGAUAGCAUGGGGAGCAAACAGG
rnacentral:rRNA from 1 species